rnacentral:misc_RNA from 1 species
GAUGAAGAACGUAGCGAAACGCGAUAGGUAAUGUGAAUUGCAGAAUUCCGUGAAUCAUCGAAUCUUUGAACGCACAUUGCGCCCGCCAGCAUUCUGGCGGGCAUGCCUGUUCGAGCGUCAUUUCAACCCUCGAGCCCCCCCGGGGGCCUCGGUGUUGGGGGACGGCACACCAGCCGCCCCCGAAAUGCAGUGGCGACCCCGCCGCAGCCUCCCCUGCGUAGUAGCACACACCUCGCACCGGAGCGCGGAGGCGGUCACGCCGUAAAACGCCCAACUUUCUUAGAGUUGACCUCGGAUCAGGUAGGAAUACCCGCUGAACUUAAGCAUAUCAAUAAGCGGAGGA